UGGCCAUACAGUGAAGUAAAAACGAAUGCUGUCAGAGAGGUGCUGAUUAUAUUGGUUCAGACACUUUUGGUUUGUUUUACAAGCCCUGCUACUGCAACACAUUGAGGGGCAGAGAAGAAAGAGUGCUUGGAGACCAGCUGCUUUACACCAGCUCUCGCCUCCGUAGUGGGAUCCUAUUCACGUGAUAGAAGAUACACUCUGCCUAGGGAUUUUGUCUUUAACUGUCUCUUUCAAGGAUAAUGCCAGUGAGCUAUUGCUGCAGGUAUUUACUCUUAAUUUUCUUAUCCCAUUGAUACUACUACUGGCUCAGUGCUUUCUUGUUUUAUUGUGUUUCUUAGAUGGAACUACUAAUGGUAUUAGUGAUGUCACUAACGGUGUGUGCUGUAUUCUUUCCCAAAUAAACUACUCCUGGACUGGUGCUUCUGUGUUUUUUUUUUCUGUUUACUUUCUGCCCUCUAAAGCUAGCCAAUCACAGCAGAUGGCCACUUAUACUGAGCAUGGUUCUACUAGAGGUUUUUCUUGUUAAUAUGGAGUCCUUACUUACCACUGUAGCUACAUGCUUAGAACUCUCUGUUUUAUCAUCUGCCUUGAGAUGACAUUUGCUCUGAACUGGUGCUAUAUUCCUAAAAUUAAUAAAAUUGAAUUGAAUUGAAAUCUAACCUUAAUCGUAAAAAAGUUAGACCACUGAUUUUACUAAACAAAUAUUAAUUCAAAGUGAAAAAGUUUGAAAAAUAACAUACACCAUAAUUACUAGAUAUGUACAAAAUAUGAAAAACCUUAGAACUUAAAAGUUUGAGAGGGAAGAAUUAAGCCAUGUGUGGGUUGCUGUUUUGUUUUUAAAAUCCCAGUGUGUUAUGUAAAAGUACUGCAUGUGCAUUCUAAUAUAUCUGCUUAGCAAUUUAGUGUAUGCUAAAUAGUUGUGUAAAGAAAUUGUAAUAGCAUUAAAAAAUACUAAUACCUCAACUGACUCUCACAGUCAAUUGAGUUAUUGUAAAUCAAGUUUAAAAACAAGAAUAAACUCUAGAAAUCUGUUUAUUGCAUUUACUUAGCAGAAUGCACACAAAAGCAUGGAUCCAAAAUAUUAUGCACUCUAUGAAAUAUAAUCAAUUGUAUACAACUUUCUAAAUGCACAGAAGUUGUUUUGACAAUAGAUGACACUACAAAGUGACUGCAACAUGACCAAAGUUGGUGUCUAUACAAAACAAAGUUUCAAAAUUAAAUUAAAUAUAGAGGAUUACUUACUGUAAAGAUGUAAAAAUGACAGGAAUAAGAAACCAGUUUAAAAUACACAAAGUAAAUAAAUGUUUAUUGUCAGUGACAUAGAAAUUUAGCAGAUACAAUUUUUCUUAAAUGAAGCGACAGCAAUCAGUACACACAGCAUUUCAAAGAAUUUCCAAAACGAUUGUCGUUGCAAUUAUACUAUGUACAAGAAUGCGAAUCUUCAGAAUGUUGUCAAAAUUAUACUGCAAAAACAGAAUUCUGCACUGAGUACUAUUGAAGCAUAGAAAAAAACAUCCUUGUACUGAUACAAAACUGAUAACUGAUUAAAAUUGUGCUUGAGUGUAUAAAAAGAAUUUGUCUACAAAACAACUAUAAUGUUUUUUCUUUUCAAUAGACCCUGGUUACGACUAUGCAACAACCAUUCAAUAAUAAUAAAACAAAAACAUUUAAAAGAAUAAAGUAACUUGUAAUGACCUCUGCUUUUGUGUGAUGCAAUAGAUUAAUAAAUCUGGACUAUGUACAAAACAAUAUUCAUUAUUAAUAGUAUACAUUUAUCUUAUUUACAGUUUGAAGAAUUUUUUAACAAUCUGAUGCACUCCAAUUUCAUUUUCUUUAAAAAAGUCAUUUAUAGUUAAACAGAGAUUACCAUGCAUAUUCUAUUAAAUUUAAUAGAGCCAUAGUUUGAAAUGUAUACUGCUUUAGGAGAUUGUGUUUGAGUGCAUAUUAGAGGGUUUAAAUGAUCUUACUAUUACUUUUUUGGUGAUAGCUCAAGUCUUGGAAACCUGAAACCACCUUUUUGAUCCACUGUCAAUGCUUGAGGAUGAC